UGGGGCAGAGAGGCCCGCCUGGGCUUCAAUGAAUACUCCACGUACGCCAGUGGCCCACC
rnacentral:snoRNA from 1 species